rnacentral:lncRNA from 1 species
CCUGUGUCCAAAUGUCUCAUAGGAUGCUCCCAGGAACGGCUUGAUCCUCGUUUUUGAAACUUCAAGUGCUGGCUAAGUGAAGCUGGUAAAGACCCAGGCUCUGGAGUCGGACUGCCUAGGUUCAAAUCCCAGCUUCACCAUUUGAUCUCAGGUAAUGUGCCAACAUUGUAACAAGGUUUAAAGGAUGGAUAUCUCACACAUGAGCAUGAAAAACUGUAAGUGUGUUUCACAUUUAUGAACCACAAAAUAAUGUGUUUCAAAUCUUUCUUACUACAUUGAAAGCAACAGCUGAAGAUCAUGAAGACAGUUCAACAAAGAAAUACAAGCUGGUGGCUUGCACCUGUAAUCCCAGCA